rnacentral:rRNA from 1 species
CACUUGUUCUUCCCUAACAACAGAGUUUUACGACCCGAAAGCCUUCAUCACUCACGCGGCGUUGCUCCGUCAGACUUUCGUCCAUUGCGGAAGAUUCCCUACUGCUGCCUCCCGUAGG